AGCAGGGCGGCGAUGGGCGUCACGUUGAUGCCCAUGAGCAUCUUGCUGUCGAUGUCGGGCAGCCCCAUGUUGCCGUACUUCACCUCGCGGAAAGCAAGCAGAAGAGAAUAAAUGCUGCUCUCAAUUGGAACUCCCUGAAACAACAUCGUGGAAUAUUGUGACCUGCACUGCACUGACACAGUAGCCAUCUGGGCAGCCCCCACGAUUCACUGAACACCACUUCCCCCGCAUGGAUGCGAGUCCACGGCACAUUAAACAUUAAAGCCAGUGGGGUUGACAAUCAGCGAGGCUGGCUCACAGGAUGUUGGGAGGUCCCCAGGUUGGGGUGCGCCAAGGGCUCUGGCCAGUGCCUGGUACAGCAAAUGUCCAGGUGGCUGCUGCUUUCCACUGAGACUUGAGGCUUCCGAAAGUUGGGGGCAAGGGGCUCAUCCAGAGCUGAAGACCCCAGCCCAUUCCUGUGCGUGGGUUCCAGGCGCCUUAGAAGGACCGUGGGCCAGGGAGCCAGGCCAGGCCGCGUUUGGAUCCCCACGUGUCCUUGUCACUGUGUGGCCCAGCUGGAAAGCACGGUCAAUCAUGCCUGGGAAUUGUGAAAAUUGUGUGAAGUGUCUGCAUACAGUAGGUGCUCAGUAAAGGUUUGUUGAGUUCGUAAA